CCAGGCCUCUCCGGUCACCGACUUACUAUUGGCAGAGAGCAUGCCGGGAAACGUAGUCUGUCCGGGAGACCCUAGAGCCUUGCGUGCCGGGGAACGCAGUCCAGUGUAAAGUUAGGUUCCAUGAAGAGACAGUGAAAGCAGAGGGGGAUGCUGCUUGCUCCUGCUUUCAGUUCUUAUGUACCCUUAAAAACGGAAAAGUGUGCCUGAGAACCCGAUGUGUACUUUACCUCUAGGAUAUGGAAAUAUGCACAGUUCGAACGUGCACUGCUAAAGAACAAGAAAAGCCCUCAAACUAGAAGUAGAGAUAGCUCCUAAAGAGCAAUAAAGUAAAAAUGAACCAUAGAAAAAAGAAAAGUCCAAACAAAGCUGCCACUCACAGCAGUCCUAUACAGCAGAUAUAAAAAGCUACAAGCAGUGUCCUUGAAAGAGUGUGAUGGACAAAGGCGGAUAAACAUGAAAAGCGCACAAGGCCUGCAACGUUCGGAUGAGUUUAAUUCAGCCCAGUAGCAGGUGCUGAGGGUUAUGGAGAAGCAUAAAACCUGGUCUAAAUAAAGGCAUGUUUGCUAGGG